CAAAAUGUAGCUUAAUUAAAGCCUCCCGCUUACACCGAGAAAAUAUCCGUGAAACCCCGAUCAUUUUGAGCCUAAAAUCUA
rnacentral:tRNA from 1 species